GGUACUUGCCAGCUGUGUCACCUUGACAAAGUCACAGCACCUUACCUGGCACCUAUACACAGGAGACUCUGAAGUAUCUCUUGGAUCAUGGCUUUCCAGUGACCCUGUCCUCCUACGGCCCAGUGGUCAGCUUUCUGGCCAGACCUGAGGCAGCACCAGGGAGGCUGUGAGGUUUGCUAGUCUCCGGUGUGUUCUGAACGGGUAAACUCCUAGAAGCAGGAUCCCGGGGUCACAGCACGUCCAUAUGUUUUAUGCACAGGCAAGGACACAGGUUCUGGAAUGAGACCGCGUAGGACUGACACCCUCGGCCAUCGGCCAGUUGCAUGGCCUUGGAGGGCCUGGCAGGACGGUGGCUUCCUCACUGGUGAGUUGGAAUACUAACAACCUCCUUUACUGGGUUGGUUGCUAUGCGAUGCAUGUGGCUCAAUACAUGGUAAGCCCUUAGAUCCUGGCCUGUGCACAGUGAGCACAAAACUCUCAGCUAUUAUUAUUGCUGUUAUCGUUGCCAACUUGUCCUCCUGAAAGAGUGUCCCAAUUUAAC